UGGGGAAUCUUGCGCAAUGGACGAAAGUCUGACGCAGCGACGCCGCGUGAGUGAUGAAGGCCUUCGGGUUGUAAAGCUCUGUGGGGAGAGAAGAAUUAGUGCAGGCUAAUCACUGCAUGAUGACGGUAUCUCCUUAGCAAGCACCGGCUAACUCUGUGCCAGCAGCCGCGGUAAGACAGAGGGUGCAAACGUUGUUCGGAAUUACUGGGCGUAAAGCGUGUGUAGGUGGCUGUGCAAGUCGGAUGUGAAAGCCCUGGGCUCAACUCAGGAAGUGCACCCGAUACUGCAUAGCUAGAGUACCGGAGAGGUUGGUAGAAUUCUCGGUGUAGAGGUGAAAUUCGUAGAUAUCGAGAGGAAUACCUGUGGCGAAGGCGGCCAACUGGACGAGUACUGACACUGAGACACGAAAGCGUGGGGAGCAAACAGGAUUAGAUACCCCCGUAGUCC
rnacentral:rRNA from 1 species